GCUCUCGUAGCUCAGUGGUAGAGCACCCGUUUAAGUAAGCGGGAAGUCUUGAGUUCGACUCUCAACGAGAGCA
rnacentral:tRNA from 1 species